rnacentral:rRNA from 1 species
GCGGCGUGCUUAACACAUGCAAGUCGAGCGGAAAGGCCUUUCGGGGUACUCGAGCGGCGAACGGGUGAGUAACACGUGAGUAAUCUGCCCCUCACUCUGGGAUAGCCUUGGGAAACUGAGAUUAAUACCGGAUAUGAGCAUCCCCUGCAUGGGGGGUGUUGGAAACUUUUUUGGGUGGGGGAUGUGCUCGCGGCCUAUCAGCUUGUUGGUGGGGUAAUGGCCUACCAAGGCUUCGACGGGUAGCCGGCCUGAGAGGGUGACCGGCCACACUGGGACUGAGACACGGCCCAGACUCCUACGGGAGGCAGCAGUGGGGAAUAUUGGACAAUGGGCGGAAGCCUGAUCCAGCAACGCCGCGUGAGGGAUGACGGCCUUCGGGUUGUAAACCUCUUUCAGCACAGACGAAGCGCAAGUGACGGUAUGUGCAGAAGAAGGACCGGCCAACUACGUGCCAGCAGCCGCGGUAAU